AGAGUUUGAUCCUGGCUCAGAAUCAACGCUGGCGGCGCGCCUAACACAUGCAAGUCGAGCGAGAAAGUGGAGCAAUCCCAUGAGUAAAGCGGCGCACGGGUGAGUAACACGUGGGUAUCCGCCUUCUAGUGGGGAAUAACCCUGGGAAACCGGGGCUAAUACCGCAUAAGUCCGAGAGGGGAAAGUCGCAAGACGCUGGAAGAGGAGCCCGCGGCCGAUUAGCUUGUUGGCGGGGUAAUGGCCCACCAAGGCGAUGAUCGGUAGCCGGCCUGAGAGGGCACACGGCCACACUGGCACUGAAACACGGGCCAGACUCCUACGGGAGGCAGCAGUGGGGAAUCUUACACAAUGGGGGAAACCCUGAUGCAGCGACGCCGCGUGAGUGAUGAAGCCCUUCGGGGUGUAAAGCUCUUUCGGCAGGAACGAUCAUGACGGUACCUGCAGAAGCAG
rnacentral:rRNA from 1 species